rnacentral:misc_RNA from 1 species
GGACAACAAAAAUGUAUCAUGUGGCUCUGCUUCAGUGGGUAGUUUAUGUCGAGAAGGAUCUGAUAAGGUUGUAUUAUCCUCCAAGUUAGCUUUUUCUGAGAUUCAUGCUUCUAAAGAGGUUCAUAACUGCUCAAAGGAGGCACAUAGUCUGGACUCUCUUUCUCCAAGUGAUAAACCAUUAUCUGAAAUGGGUUUUGAACAGAAUCCAUCCACUUGUGU